rnacentral:lncRNA from 1 species
CGUGUCUUUGGGUUAAAUUUCAAUGAAUGAAGUUGGAUGGAAACAGGCUGCAUUCUGCCGGGCCCCGGGGUGGCCGCGGGGGACAGCUCGGUGCCUGGAAGAGCUGGGCAGAGUCCUGGCUCCUGAGCCGCUUCCUCGGACCAGCCGCGGGUUCCUCUGAUACCCCAUCUUGUGUCCUGUCCAAAAUAAAUGGUGGCAGCCGAGCCGGUUCCAGUAGCCUGGGGAGUCCGUCUGCUGGUGCCACCUGAUUCCUCAGCGGGCGGCAGAGCUGCACAAUCCCUGGAUGCGGCGGCCACCAGGGCAGAUUUAUAGGCUGCAGGUGGUGGAUGCCACCUUGCCCUUCAUGCAGGAAAACAACCUACAAAGGGGGAGCGCCUCGUGCCACCUCAGGUUCCUGCCUUCCUGGACCCUUGCCAGGAAGUCGCCUGGACCUCUGAUCCUGCAGGAUGCUGCCGGUAGGACAGACUGCCACCGACUUGCUGUGUGACCUUGGGCAAGGCGCUUUCCCUCUCUGAGCUCAAUUUUCCUUGGAUGUAAACGGAGAGGGCAUCAUCCUAGUUAAUGGGUGCAUCCUGGAUGUUCUCUUAGUACCUCCAGCAGCCCUUGUGGGGUGACCACCAAUCUUAUUUUGCAGACAAGGAACUGCCAGGUAGAGGGGUAAGCACUUGUCCACGCCAUAGAGCUUAGCCAGAGCAGUCCAGUCCUUUGAUCCCAGGCUCCUUGGCCGGGUCCGCUGCAGAGUCCUUCCCAGGGUGCACCCUGGGGUGGCCACAAGCCGAGGGGAGUAGGCACUGUUCACGCAUGUCUCGUGCAAGGCAGGAACAGAGACAGACGAGGUGCCCUGGGACACACAGGUCCUGAGCAGAGUGGCAGGACUUGAACCCGAGACUUCCUGAGCCCAAAGCCCCAGUGCACCAGCCCUUGAUCACCCACCCUGACCCUCUGCCCUGGCACUUGGGCCCACUUUCUUCACAUGCUCCUCAUGCUCUGUGGCCCGCUGUGGUCCCCUGGGCUGGGUCCUCUGACCGGGUGGCCUCUCCCCUUAUCCUGUGGUCAGCUAGCUGAUGGGGCCAGCUCAGGGCUGACCUCUCCAAAAAGGCUUUUUAAAGUCAUGCUAUCCCUCCGAGAUUGUUGGAUGACAGUUGGGGUGGUCCUAGUCACCACUCCUACUGUGAAACUGUGACCCUCGUUGUGUGGUUAGGGUGAGCCAGGCCACCACUCAACGUUCACGCAGGAGGGUCACAAGUUUGAGGCCAGCCUUGGCCAACUCAGCAGCAGGACCUUAUCUCGAAAUAAAAAGGGCUUGGAGACGCACAGGGGCGGAAACGCUUCCCAAGGACAGGGCUGCCAUCGUGUGUCUGGGGGGGACCCCGUCCACCACUGUCCAUGGGGAUGGGCAGGUUGGACGUUAUCAGGGUUCAGAACCGUCAAGAGACUGCAGGCCCCUCUCCUGGAAGGUUGGCUUGUGGACCUCAGGCUCCUAGCGCCCAGCCCGGCCUUUCUGUCCCCCAGGCCAGGUCAGUGGGAAUGUCACCUCUACUCGUCCUCCUGCAAUGAAUGGCUCUUUCUGUCCAGAUAAGGAACGAUUGUGUCUGAUUAUUUGUGAAUCUCUAUGGAAACAGACAUCCCUAAAAGUACAUUGACUUAGAUUUUCCACUGGCCGAAUCUUUGGGGCUUCUGUCUGUGGUUGACACUGAGAAAGGAGGCGCCUGCCCCGUCCAGCCCUCUGCCAGACAGACAGAGAGGGAAAGGCAGCCUCCGGGCCUCGGGAGGCUGAGCUCUGGCCCAGGCCUGCUCCUCGGCUUCCCCACGACUUCGAACACGUCUCUUCCCCCCAAAUCUGCCACUGUCACAUCUCCUCCUUGUGAAUUGAGAUGGUCAAACCAAAUGAUGGCGCAGUCUCCCUUCUGCUCCAGACUUCAGUAUUCCCUAAGAGAGAACAGAGAGGUACUGCUGGUCCGACGACAGCUUCAUUGUCCACCACUGUCCCUUUGAGCUCUGUAUCCAAGGACUAUAGCCUAGACCCCGUUUUUUUGAAAGUAGAAUAACUAUUAUGACCACAAAGCCAAUAGACACUUCCCAUUUGAAGUUUCACUACUAGGCCCUUACACAUGUUAUCUCAUUUAAUCCUCACUGCCUCAUGGGGAGGUAAUUUUUUUUUUUAAUCUCUGUUUUAUAUGAGUGGACUUAGGAUCAGAGAAGUUAGGUAACUUCCCCAAGGCCACACAACAAAUAAAUGGCAGAGCUGGUAUCUAAGUGAGACUUCUUUGUUUCCAGUGAUUUCUCUGAACCACUAGAUGGUCUAUCACCAAGAAUAUGGCAAGGGCUUAGUGUGUGUGUGUGUGUGUGUGUGUUUAUUAAUGAUUGAAUACAGGGACUUGUGCAUGCUAGGCAAAUGCUCUACCACGGAGCUACAUCCCCAGCCCUUUUUAAAAAUGAUAUUUUGAGACAGGGUCUCACUAAGUUGCCCAGCUGACCUUGAACUUGUGAUCCUCCUGCCUCAGCCUCCCGGGUGGCUGGGACUAUAGGUGUGUGCCAGCGUGCCUGGCCCCCGAUAAGCAUUGGAAGAAUGUCUGAAUGAAUGGCCGGAGGGAUGGAUCCGCACAUCACUCCAAGAAGCAAAAUAGUUCUCACAUUUCCCUGUUGGUGUCUGAAUAUACGAGCUACCGGCCCUGAGCCCUCUCCUGACCAAGAGUCACCCAGCCCCAAAUGUCACUUGAGAAAAGCUGAGACCCUUGGGCUGGAGAAGACAGAGCUGUGCUCAGAGAAGGCCUCUGAGAGGUGGGAGCUAAAUGAGGGUCAUCUGAACCCAGGAAGGUAAGUCUCCACGGGGGGUUGGGGGAGGGGAAGUUCCUCCGCGCUGUGGCUGUGAACAGGCAGGUCCCCGUGAGCGACACCCAGGUGAGGUGCUGUACCUGUGGCCCAGGACCUUACGGCCUGAGUGGAUGGACGGCACAGAGAAUGCAGCUUAAUCUCUGUUUUCUUAUUGAGACACGUUUUAGCUCACUGUCACUAUUACGGCGGUUCAAGAUAUAUUGUUAAAUGUCGCACAGGGCAAAAGCAGGUUCAAAGCAGGGCCCCUUUUUUGUAAAAGAAACAUUGUCCAUGGCAUAUGAAUGUAGAGUACAGUUAGAGGGAACGUGCACAAGUAAACAUGUAUGAAAGAAAGUUCUAGAAGGAAAUGGACCAAACUGCUGACAGGAGUUAUUUGCCUCAGCAGAGUGGGAUGGGCAUGGGGAUAACAGAUGACAGAGACGGUCAUGGCCACUAAACAUCCCUCAUCUCCGUGUGGUUGGAUUGGAGUUUGGUGACUAGGCCUGGCCAUUGGGCAGUAGGCAUAUCUGUAUGUCCUUCCUGGGCCAAAAGUGGGUGGGAGCUUCCCACCUCUCUUGCGCACGCACGCGCUUCUUUUGUCAUCGUGACUCUGGAAACCAUGUGCCAAAAUGGAAGGGGGUCCCUGUUGUCCUGCAUCAGACUUUGUAUAAAUGAGAAAUGAACCUGUUAGGAGCAUUUAAGAUCUCAAGGCUGUUAAGAUCUCAAGGCUUACUUGUUAUUGCAGCUUAGCAUAUCCGUGCAGACUAAAUCUGCAAUAUGUUUGCACUUCUACACAGUGUUUUCCUAUAUGAACCAUAAUUUUUUCAAUGAAAAUUUUAUUAAGAAUUGAACUUUUGCUGAGAUGUAGAGCUUUUCCAUGCCUCUAAGAUUUCCUGAAAACACAGAUUGUUAGACUCAAAAAUGAAUCAGUUAUGAAAACUCUAGGUGUUCCAUGUCAGGAUGAUCUACAUACUUUAGGUCAAGGCCAAUAGUCAGGGAGAGCUGUGAAAUUGAAAACAGGUUUCUUUCUGUGAGACCAGGGCCAUGUAGGUUGCGGGCUACCUUUUCCCCUUUUAUUCUCUUUAUUCAGAAUGAGAUCAGUGGCCCAGACAAUAUUCACAAACAGCCCACGGUGACUUGAACCUCCUGGUUGAAACUGUCCAAAGGACAAUCCUGUUGCUGGAUGCCAGCUUCUCCUGACCACUCAGCAACCUUGGCCACAUUUGCAGAUCCAGAAAGAGAUGCGGUGGUCGCUGCUCAAGAUCCUCCUGGACAUUUCCAGCCCCGGUCCCCGGCCGUGGUCUCAGGGUGAGUCUGUCCACUAUCGACUAGGCUGUGUGGGGAGAGACACGGGCAGGAGGCAGCCGGUCCUCAGUCUCCUUCCUCUGGGAGAAGCCGCCUUUCAGUGGUGAGACUUUUUAAAAACUCCGGUUCUUGGUAACAUAAACCUGCCCUUGAUCCGGCACCAGAAGACCCUCUUGCAUGCAGGAUGCCAGGGUGCCGCCGCUGUGGUCACUUCUUUUCCUUUCUUCCAAAAUACAGAAACUUGAUCUACCAGCUAAGUUGAAGUCCAACUGGUCUAACAGGAAUUUGCACAAAUGCCCGUUUGUCCUUCUGGAUGAAAAGAGGGUAGGGAAGUCAAGCUGAUCACGGGGCCUGCUCUCCUGCCAGGCCCCGGGCACACGUUUCUGCAUUUAAACAUCAUGAAGACCCUACUGGGCGGGUAUCACUGUUUCCCAUUUCACAGAGAAAAAAAAACAGGCCCCGGAGAAAUCACGUGAUUUGGACAAUUUUGAAGAGACAGAGCUGGGAUUCGUAUCCAAAUCUCUUUGACUUGAAAGUUCCUGUUCAGAAAAGAAGACUUUAGUGGGAAAAUGGGUCAAACCAAAAUAGGAUUUGUCAUUGAGUUAAAGAGUCAGGAACUAGGGUUAGCUUCUGGUUUUCAUCCUUGUAUAAAUUUCGCGGGCUGUAACUACGGCAUGUCAAAGAAAGCUGGCAAAGGGUGAAUGGGACCGCUGUCCUAUUUGGACACGUUUCUGGUAACUCUAAAAUGAUUUCGAAAUAAAAACUUUCACCAGAUGCCAUGGUGCAUGGCACACGCCCAUCAUCCCAGUGGCUCUGGAGGCUGAGGCAGGAGGAUCUCGAUUUCAAAGCCAGCCUCAGCAAAAGCCAGGCCCUAAGCACCUCAGCGAGACCCUGUCUCUAAAUAAAACACAAAAUAGGGCUGGGGAUGGGGCUCAGGGGUCAAGCGCCCCUGAGUUCAAUCCCUGGUUACCCCCUGCCAAAAAAAAAUGUUUCUAUGGACUUUGGAUGAUAAUGGUGGGUCUCUGGAGGUUUACCCCUGGUAACAGGUGCCACUCUGGUAGGGGACCCUGCUCAUGAAGGAGGCUGGGCAUGUAUGGGGACAGAGGGGAGUGGGGGGAAAUCCCUGCACCUUCUGCUUUAUUUUGAUGUGAAACCCUAAAAAAUGAAGCCUAAAACUACUCCAAGGAAGAAAGUCUUUCAUUUUCUCAAAUUGAAUUCUUUUAAUUCUUCCUACACGUUGAGUGUCCAGAUUAACGGGCUUCCCUGUGACCUUUCCAUAGAUACACAUAUGACCACGCUCCCUUCGACCCGCUCCUGCUCUCGUAAAAAAGAAAAGGUAAAUAAAUUUGAUUGUCACA